AUGACGGAAGGGCACCACCAGGAGUGGAGCCUGCGGCUUAAUUUGACUCAACACGGGGAAACUCACCAGGUCCAGACACAAUAAGGAUUGACAGAUUGAGAGCUCUUUCUUGAUUUUGUGGGUGGUGGUGCAUGGCCGUUCUUAGUUGGUGGAGUGAUUUGUCUGCUUAAUUGCGAUAACGAACGAGACCUUAACCCUUAAAUAGAGCCGCCAGCAUUCUUUUUUUGUUGGUUUUUUCCUUUGGUUCUUCUUAGGGGGACUAUCGGCUUCAAGUCGAUGGAAGUUUGAGGCAAUAACAGGUCUGUGAUGCCCUUAGACGUUCUGGGCCGCACGCGCGCUACACUGACGGAGCCAGCGAGUUUACAUCUUCCUAGGCCGAGAGGUCCGGGCAAUCUUGUGAAACUCCGUCGUGCUGGGGAUAGAGCAUUGCAAUUUUUGCUCUUCAACGAGGAAUUCCUAGUAAGCGUAAGUCACCAACUUGCGUUGAUUACGUCCCUGCCCUUUGUACACACCGCCCGUCGCUACUACCGAUUGAAUGGCUUAGUGAGGCCUCCGGAUCUGCCCACGGCGAGGGCAACCUCGCCCGCGGCGGAGAAGUUCGUCAAACUUGGUCAUUUAGAGNAA
rnacentral:rRNA from 1 species